AGUUAUGGCCAUAUCAUGCUGAAAAAACCAGUUCUCGUCCGAUCACCGAAGUUAGGCAACGUCAACUGUCGAUCGUAUCUAGAUGGGUGACCUCUUGGGAAACUUGCGUAAGCAUCUUUU
rnacentral:rRNA from 1 species